UACGUAGGGAGCAAGCGUUGUCCGGAAUCAUUGGGCGUAAAGCGCGCGUAGGCGGCUCGGUAAGUCCGCUGUGAAAGUCAGGGGCUCAACCCUUGAAAGCCAGUGGAUACUGUCGGGCUAGAGUCCGGAAGAGGCGAGUGGAAUUCCUGGUGUAGCGGUGAAAUGCGCAGAUAUCAGGAGGAACACCUAUGGCGAAGGCAGCUCGCUGGGACGGUACUGACGCUGAGGCGCGAAAGCGUGGGGAGCAAAAGGG
rnacentral:rRNA from 1 species